rnacentral:rRNA from 1 species
AAAGGUCGGACCUGCCCGGUGAUAUAUUAAACGGCUGCAGUUUUCUGUACGAAGGUAGCGUGAUUAACAGCCCUUUAAUUGGGGGAUAGUAUGAAUGGUUUGACGCAGAAAUUCUGUCUCUGGCAUAAUAAUUGAAUUUUUUGUUUUAGUGAAAAGACUAAAAUUUUUGUAUAAGACGAGAAGACCCUGUCAAACUUAAUUAAAUUUUUUCUAGGAAUAAAUUGAAUUUUUGUUGGGGCAACAAGAGACUAAAGUUAACGUCUCGAUUGUAGAGAUAAAGAUCCCUAAUGAAGGAUAAUAGAAAAAGUUACUGGAGGGAUAACAGCGUAAUUUUUCUUGAGAGAUCUUAUUGAGAGAAGGGUGUGCGACCUCGAUGUUGAAUUAAGGAUUACUUUAUGGUUGCAGAAGCUAUGGGUAGUGAAACUGUUCGUUUUUUAAUUCCUU